UGUAUUCACUCGUCAUUAAUGAAAGCAGGUUUGGCAAACUGGUAAGAAAGGUAAACGUCAGUCAUUGCUGCUUUUUGCCACCUAUACAUUUUCAAACUUUUGUGUACUGUAUUUUGAAAUUAAAUUUAUAUAUUAGCUAAGUGUAUGACACAUAGUCAAAUUCUGAAUUUAUAAUACAUUAAUUUACUUGUUAGAAAAAUAGCUUGUAGUUAGCUGAUUAAAUAUUUGAAUGAUAAACCAUUGCAUAAAUACCUUCAUUCUAUUUUGGUGAACACAGAUGCUUAUUCAUUAACUAGCGAGAUAUGCCAAUUAGUGGAGUGGUGCCGCAGCAACAACCCUGGCAGUCAACGUCAGUAAGACGAAAGCGCUGACUGUGAACUUCAGGAAGGGUAAGAUGAAGAAAUGCACACCAAUCCCCACAGAGGGAUAAGAAGUGAAGAGAGUGAGUAGCUUCAAGUUUCUGUGUGUCAAGAUCUCUGGGGAUCUCACUUGGUCUCAACAUAUCGAUGCAGUUAUAAAGAAGGCAAAACAGCGGCUAUACUUCAUUAGGAGUUUGAAGAGAUUUGGUUCUUUUGAAGAAGCGACCUGGAGUUACAUGCUGACUUCAGCUCUUUUUGGAAAUGGAAACUGCUCUCAGGGCUUUUCGAUAUGCCAAGGACGUGGCCUGGAAGAAUUAUAGACAAUGAGCUGGAAAGAUGUUAGUCAAGUUAAUUUCACAACAGACUCUCUUCAGCCAGCAAAAACAGAAGAUGUUCAUUAGUUGGUCCAGUCUCAAAUCCCAUGCAUAAGAGACAAUCUGCCACAAAGUUCUUACAAAUCAUGCAAGAAAAAAUCAGAGAUAAGUAUUAAAUUUCGUAAACUGGAAUAUCAUGCAAGUGGUGGGAAGUUCUGUUGGGGUAAUGUAUUGGCAUGGAUGGAAGAUUGGUUAACCAAUAGAAGGGAGAGAGAUGUUUCUCUGGUUGGCAGUCAGUGGUAAGUGGAGUGCCCCAGAGGUUUAUGUUUGGCCCACAACUGUUCACAAUAUACAUUAACAAUAUGGAGGAAGUGCCAGGAGUGUAGCACAACCUAAGUUUGCUGAUGAUACUAAACUGAGUGGAAAAGCAAACUGUGCAGAGGAUGAAGAGAGUCUACAGAGUGAUGCGGAUAGGUUAAGUGAGUGGACAAGGGUCUGGAAGAUAGAAUACAGCAUUGAUAAACACAAGGCCAUCCACUUUGGAAGGAACAUAGAAGACCAGAUUAUUAAUUGAAUAGUGAAAGAUUACAGCAAUCUAUUGUGUAGAGGGAAUUGGGAGUGCUGGUGCAUGAAUUGCAAAAGGUUGGUUUGCAGGUGCAACAGGCUAUCAAGAAGGCAAAUGGAAUGUUAGCCUUCAUUGCUAGAAGGAUUGAAUGUAAGAACAGAGAGAUUAUGCUACAACUGUAUAGGUACGGCAAGGUUGCAUUUGGACUAUUGUUUGCAUUUCUGGUUUCUUCACUUGAGAAAGAUCAUACUGGUUUUGCAGGUAGUGCACAGGAGGCUCAUGAGGUUGAUUCCAGAGAUGAGGAGAGCUAGAGUGACCUGGAACUAUGCUCACUAGAACCCAGAAGAAUGAGAGGGGACCUUAAGGAAACAUAAAAUUAUUAAGGGGAUAUAUAAGAUAGAGGCAGGAAAGAUGUUUCCACUGGUAAUUAAAACUAGAGGACAAAGCCUUAAGAUUCAGGGGAAACAGAUUUGGGAUGGAGAUGAGAAGAAGCUGUUUUUUACCCUGAGAGUAGUAAGUCUAUGGAAUUAUCUGUACAGGGAAGCAGUAGAAGUUACCUCAUUCAAAAUAUCUAAGAGAGUUAAACUGAAUUUUUGCAUAACUGGGGAGUUAAGGGCAAUGAGGAAAAGGCAGAUAGAUGGAUGUGAGUUAAUCACCAGAUAAGCCAUGAUCUUUUAUUGGAUGAUGGAAAAGUCUCAACAGACCAAAUGUUCCCUCCUGCUCCUAUUUCUUGUUCUUAACUACUUUGUAAUUGUAUGCCACAGGGAAGGGUUAUUGUAUACCAUUGCUAGAUUUUCAA